GUUUUGUGUUUUUCCCAUCCUUUUAAUGGAUCUUCACUAUAUAAUUGUUCUAAUUUUUUCUGAAUUAUUUCUAUUUUAUUAAUUGAAAAUAUAGUUAUUUCUGUUUUAUUUAUUGAAAAUUCUACUAGUUCUACUGUAUCUUCAGUAUUGUUUAUAUUUUUUAACUUUUGUGUAAUUUUUUCACUUCCUUUUAUCCAAUCAGUUUUCUUUCUUAUUUUAUUAUUAACUCUUUUUGCUCUUACUUUUUGUUU
rnacentral:lncRNA from 1 species